rnacentral:rRNA from 1 species
GAUGAACGCUGGCGGCGUGCUUAACACAUGCAAGUCGAACGGAGAAACGGUAGCUUGCUAUCUUUUUUAGUGGCGGACGGGUGAGUAACGCGUGGGUAACCUGCCCUUUGCAGGGGGAUAACAGUGAGAAAUCGCUGCUAAUACCGCAUACCAACUUCUUUCGCAUGAAGGAAGUUUGAAAGAUUUAUCGGCAAAGGAUGGACCCGCGUUGGAUUAGCUAGUUGGUGAGAUAACAGCCCACCAAGGCAACGAUCCAUAGCCGGCCUGAGAGGGUGAACGGCCACACUGGGACUGAGACACGGCCCAGACUCCUACGGGAGGCAGCAGUGGGGAAUAUUGCACAAUGGGCGAAAGCCUGAUGCAGCGACGCCGCGUGAAGGAUGAAGGUCUUCGGAUUGUAAACUUCUAUCAGCAGGGAAGAAAGGGCCUAUGGCCUAUGACGGUACCUGACUAAGAAGCCCCGGCUAACUACGUG